rnacentral:rRNA from 1 species
CGGUAAUUCCAGCUCCAAUAGCGUAUACUAACGUUGUUGCAGUUAAAAAGCUCGUAGUUGGAUUUCUGACCUUUGCCAAUGGUUGUGUCGCCGCGUGCGAGGCGCCUUGCGCAGAGGUCAACAUAUGUCACGAGCCAGUGUGAUCUAUUCAUUUAGGUCCACUGGGUAAUGACUCGUUUACUUUGAGAAAAUUAGAGUGUUCAAAGCAGGCAUUUGCCUUGAAUAUGUUAGCAUGGAAUAAUAGCAUAGGACUUCGGUUCUAUUUGUUGGUUGUUCGAGAACUGGAGUAAUGAUUGAUAGGGACGGUUGGGGGCAUCCGUAUUCUCAAGCGAGAGGUGAAAUUCUUGGACCUUGGGAAGACGAACAGCUGCGAAAGCGUUUGCCUAGGACGUUCUCUUUAAUCAAGAACGAAAGUUGGGGGAUCGAAGACGAUCAGAUACCGUCGUAGUCUCAACUAUAAACUAUGCCAGCUAGGGAUCGGUGGGUCUUUGUCACGAGUCCAUCGGCACCUUACGAGAAAUCAAAGCAUUUGGGUUCCGGGGGGAGUAUGGUCGCAAGGCUGAAACUUAAAGGAAUUGACGGAAGGGCACCACCAGGAGUGGAGCCUGUGGCUUAAUUUGACUCAACACGGGAAAACUUACCAGGUCCGGACAUAGUAAGGAUUGACAGAUUGAAAGCUCUUUCUUGAUUCUAUGGGUGGUGGUGCAUGGCCGUUCUUAGUUGGUGGAGUGAUUUGUCUGGUUAAUUCCGUUAACGAACGAGACCCGCGCCUGCUAAAUAGUCGGCCUCACUUCUGUGGGUGUUGUACUUCUUAGAGGGACCAUCCUGGGUAUACCGGAAGGAAGUUGCGGGCAAUAACAGGUCUGUGAUGCCCUUAGAUGUUCUGGGCUGCACACGGGCUACACUGCAAGAUACAACAAGCGUCGAUCACGCCUGACUGGAAGGUCCGGCCAAUCUUUGAAUAUCUUGCGUGAUUGGGAUAGACCAUUGCAAUUAUUGGUCCUCAACGAGGAAUUCCUAGUAAACGCGUGUCAACAACACGCAUUGAUUACGUCCCUGCUCCUUGUACACACCGCCC